GAGCAUUUGGUGAGGUACCAUUUAUGUGAGGCAGUCCCAAAUGUUUGGCACAUUUAUGGGAAGCAUCCUGAUGAAGGAUUUACAGUGGUUUCUUCUAACUGGGAUCACUCCUAGGUCUAGUACUAAUAAAGAGAAGAAGAUCGGAGCAGCUUUGACAUGAAUGGAUCCAUCUGGCCUGGUCUCCAUACAAGUUUCCUAUGAGUUUGCAAGUAUUAGCUGUGUGUGUGGCUGUAACAGCCAAGGACCGGCUGGAGGAAUGCGGUGACUCUACAGCAGUGCACCUCUGAGUCCUAGUGAGACAAGCGACUGUGGUCCAGGUCUGGAAGGAGGCUGGGCAGCGGCUUUUCUCAUCUCUACAGUUGGGAACUAGCACUCAUCCUUCUCAGGAAGAGGGAGAGAGUGGACUGAAUAUUUCUCACAAAGCAAUGACUGCCUCAUUAAAAAAAAAAGUAAUCAUAUAAGAAAUAUGUGAAGAUAUUGUGAAAAAAUCAAAUAAAACAAGUAAAAAGUAUCUUUAUAUUCCCCUUCCCUUCCCACUGCUCUCUUCAGAGGUAACCACUAUUCACAGUCUGGGAUGUGCCCUUCCGGACUUUGUGGAUGUGUAUGGGUGUAUGGCAUACGUAAUUUUGGUUACUGGGUUGUUAACUGAAAUAAAAUCAUUCUACAUAUUUUUCUGUAA
ensembl:lncRNA novel transcript